CAGACGAUGCGUCAUGCAUAUCAAUAAGCGGAGGAAAAGAAACUAACAAGGAUUCCCCUAGUAACGGCGAGUGAAGCGGGAAGAGCUCAAAUUUGAAAUCUUAAAGGGUUUCCCUUUACGAAUUGUAGUUUAAAGAAGUGUUUUCUGUUGAGGUUUUGGUAAAAGUUCUUUGGAAUAGGACAUCAUAGAGGGUGAGAAUCCCGUAUUUGACCUUUACUUUCAACUUUGUGAUACACUUUCAAAGAGUCGGAUUGUUUGGGAAUGCAGUCCAAAAUGGGUGGUAAAUUUCAUCUAAAGCUAAAUAUUGGCGAGAGACCGAUAGCGAACAAGUACCGUGAGGGAAAGAUGAAAAGAACUUUGAAAAGAGAGUUAAACAGUACGUGAAAUUGUCAAAAGGGAAGCGUUUGACACCAGUGUUGUUUUUCUGAAGAUCAAUUAAAGAACUGUUUAUGCUAAGCUGUUUAGACUUUAUCAGCUAACUGUUUAGUUUUGAGCUUUUCUUUAAUGCACUUUUCAGUUAACAAGUCAACAUCAAUUUCUUUUGCUGUAAAAAAGCUUGAGGAAGGUGGCUUGAGAUUCGUCUUAAGUGUUUAUAGCCUCUUGCCUAUGCAGUCGGAGAGAUUGAGGUCUGCAGCGUAGAUCCUUCGGGGCUAAAUGCAUUUGUGCUAAGUUAUAGCAUUUUAUAGACAACUUGUUGACUAUGAUUUGUCUUGUAGCUUACUCGCUUAUGUUAUUUUACCUACGCUUAGGAUGUUGACACACGCGCGUGCUCG
rnacentral:rRNA from 1 species